GGGCAGUCCAAUCAUGUCGUCUGCGCUUUUCCCAUUACAAAAUUAAAAAUCCCGGCGCAGCCAAGGUUUCCCUGGUGUUGGCGCAGUAUUCGCGCACCCCGGUUUAUCC
rnacentral:sRNA from 1 species